CCCAGACUGACCCAGCACCCUCAAGCUUUGCUCCAAACUCAGGCCAGGGAGUGAAGCCCUUGUCCCCAAGCCACAGAGUGAGGGUUUGUCUCUAACCCUGUAGGCUCCAGUGAAAGGAAAAUGGCCUGCAGGUGCCCACAGGAGAGCACCUGAGUUCUGAGACAGCUCUACAGCUCCCAGCCUUCAUCCCCGUGAGAAACACAGGGACACGCAGAGGGGCAUGCUGACUGCCUAUAGGGCACCCAUGGAACACGGAUGCACCCUGCAGAUCCUGAAACCGGUCAGGUAAUGAGGUGCAGAGGUGUGGGGAAGACCUGGAGGGAGGCCUUACUGGGUGCCAACCAGCCUAACUAGCCGGGACCACAGACCAGAAGUGCUGCUGAUGUUAAUGUGACACGGAAGGUGUGUAUGAUGGGUAGUAGAAGUGACCGCAGAGGCCUCUGGGGAUUGUAGUUUUGGAGCUAGAGAGGCGGGAAAGCAGUUGGUUUUGCCCACACAGGGUGCCUCUGAUAUCUGCACAGCACACACAACCAAGUUUAGGAGCCUACUGUUAAGAUGCCCAAGUGACAUUGACAAGUUUCGCUGGGAGCCAAUGAGGUCUGCUGACCACAAGAGCAUCACGAUACUGCUGAAGGAUUCUGGAAAAUGUGGUCCGGGUUGGCUGGUGCGGCUUGGAGGAAACUUCUGGAGGGUGGGGUGGUGCUGAAGAGGAGGCAACAUUGUAACUGUUUUGUUCAACAUGGGUGUUUUCUUUAUGCAUCAAAUUGUAUUUUUAAAGAUAUUACAUUAAAAUUUUGUUUAUCU